UAAAAUAAUUUAAAAAAUAGUAAUCUGAUUUUUUAAAAAAUGAUACACCUCUAAUUAAAAAAAAAAAAAAAACAAACCCAACAAGUUCACUAAUGGCCAAAAACUUUCUGGAAGAUAUAUGGGGAGGUUAUAAUGAAGUAUACUAAAUAUAUAGUAAAGCAUGGAAGACAAAGUAUAUAAGCUAAUUGUCUACAAAAUGGACACCUAUGUGACUACCAACCAAAUGAAGAGGUAAAUCACCACUAGCAUCACAGAAACCUCAGUAUUUUCUCACAAUUACUACCCUCUCUGUCCCUUACAAAGUUAACCAUCUACUGAUAUACCUAAGCUUAUACCCUUAAAUAUUAUAGUUUUACCUGUUUUUGAAAUGUAUAUUAAAUGGGAUUAUACAGUUUUUUGCUCUAUAUUAAAUGCUUUUGCUGUGUAUUGUUUCUGAGUUCCAUAUCUGCUAUUACAUAUAGCUGCUAUUCAUAUUAUUUGCUGUAGAAUAUUACAUUGAAUAUACACAACUCUCCCAUUCCACUGUAGAUGGAUAUUUGGGUUGAUUCCACUGUUUGACAGAUUGUACUGUUAUGAGCAUUCGUGUACAUAUUUAAUUGGUGUUCUGUACUUAAAUUUCUGUUGUAUUAUUUCUGGAAGUGGGAUUGUAGUUGUUUAGUGGUAUCUCAUUAUGGUUUUAACUUGAAUUUCCUUGAUUACAAAUGAAAUUGAGCACCUUUACCCAUUGGCUGAUUAGAUUUCCUGUUUUGUAUACUGCCCAGUCAAAUCUCUUGCCUAUUUUUCUAUUGUAUUAGAGUGUUUUAUGAAUUUCUGUCAGUUCUGUGUUGCAGAUAGCUUUCCCACUCUGAUUGGUCUUUCAGUCUUUUAAUGGUGUGUUUUGAUUAACCAAAUGAUCUUAAUUUUAGCAUAUUCAAAUUCAUUAUUUUCCUGUAUGAUUAUUGAUUUUUGUGCAAUGCCUCAAGGUCAUGAAGAUAUCCGGUAUUAAUUUCUAGACGUUCUAGCAUUGUCUUGCUCUUACAUUCUAUAAUUCAUUUGGAAUUGUUUUUUUGUUAUUAGGUGAGGUAGGCAUUAGAUUUCAUUUUUUUCCUUGUAGUUAUCUAAUUGUCCACUAGGACUCUCUUUUUCCUUUGCUUUUCUGCAGUACCACCUUUGUUGUGAAUUAAUGUCUAUGUUUCUAUGGAUCUGUUUCCGGGCUUUCUGUUCUGUCCCAUUGGUUUGUUUGUCUGCCUUUACACCAAUAACUCACUGUUUUGUUUCUUAUCACCUUGUUCUUCAAGAAUAUUUUGGCAAAUCUUGAUUUUUUUUUCAUUUUCAUAUAAAUUUUAGGACCAGUGUGUAAAGUUCACAGCAACAAAAAAUUGGAGAGUUUCAGUUUUGCUUAGGAUGGAGAAGACUGGGAAAAGCAUCAUAUCUGACUUAGAACAAGAAAAAACUGUAUGAUAUACAAAAUCAUAACUUUUCUUAAACCCACUAGAGAUCCUAAGUUACAGUGCAACCAAGUAGUAUGAGAUAUAUGAAAAGACAGACCUCUCCAAGGAGACACAGGAUGCAAGCAUACCUUUGGCAAAACACAGAAGAGAUGUUAAGCUCCCUACAGACAGAUGGGAAGCUAUACAGAAACAUUGUAAACCACUACGAGAACAUGUUAUUAGGCUGUCUCUGCUGAUGAAGGGCCAAGGAAAGAAAUCAGAGCUCCUGGUUCCUUAAAGUUUACUGGCACGGUCUCUGAUCCGGGUAUCACUUGGAAAGCUGUGAAUCAAGUGUAAUCGAUUAACAUCCAUCCGCUCGCCUAUUUAAUGAACUACCUCAUGCUUUAAAGAAAGAUUGGAGAAUGAAGACAGAUUCUCUAAAUGUCUUACAAGAAGGAAAUCCUUGAAGAUUUUGCAAUCACUAAAAAGUGUACAGAGCUGCUGCAAAUAAUAUAUGCUUUUCAUUCAUUCUCUGUGUCAAAUCUCCAAGAAAGGUGGCAUCCCAGGGCCAGGAGACCAGACUUUCAAGGUUGGUGACAGUAGAUCUUACACUGAUGAAAUCAAAUGUUUUGCUGGGAAUAUUGAUAAAACGAUUCAUUUUUACUGAGGGCUAUUCACAUUGAUAGAUGGUCAGAUGCAAGAAGCAAAAUAAAUAUGGAUGAUCCUGGCAUUACUGCCUCUGACACAUUUUUUUUAUUCCUUUAAUAUUUUUCUAUACAAUCUGUAGGUGUGGAUGAAUGCCAAACUGCAUUUAAUUUUCCUAUGCCUCCUGGAAUUGUGGAUGUGAGUUUUAUGUACUAAUUCUUACAGGAAAAGACAUUUUUCUAUACGAAGAUAUGGUGCUUCAGCUUGAUAAUAUGACUGUUGCUUUCUAAAUAUGUUAAAUUUUAAUUAACAGAAUGUGUGUCUAAUGAGAUAUGCAGAUUAAUUGAAAUAUAGAAUUAUUAAGACCUUCCUAACACAAACUUUUUAUAAUUCCCUACCUUAAUAAAUUAUAUUCAGUAUAGUCUAUUUACCUUCCUUUGAUUAAUCUCAAUUUUGUCAUGCUUCAGGCUAUAAAUAAUCAUUUCUGCUUCUACUAUAAUAUAUAUGCAUAAAUAGAGGGAGAAAGCAAUUCCCCUCUCUUUAUUUCCAGGAUGUAGCCUCAGAAUUGCAUUUAAAACAACAACUAAAAUCCUUUCUGUCCAUUUGUUUUCUUUUUGUUACCUCUUUAACCCACAAGCUGAGUACUGUCCCAAAUUCAAUUUCAUUGGGAAUUUAGUUAUUUGAGGUUUUAAAAUCACUGUUAAUCCUUUUUUUCAAUUUCAAUUGGAAGUCAUACAUUUUUAUAAGAUAUAGUGAAGUUGCUGACUAAGUCAAACAAAUAAGCCUCCCCUGAGUUUUAGAAAGCAAGCGUUUUUAAACAAAAUCCUAAGUUAGAUGACCUGAAAUGCGAAUUUAUCUGCUGUUUGAAUGCUGUAAUCAUCUCUGGUCUUUCUCCUAACUCUUCAUUCAUUGUUCAGGCAAUGAAUAUUUAUCGAGUGUUUACACCUUGUCAGACAGUGUGAGAUGCUAGGGAACACAGAAAUGACAAAUGACAAUCUUGUCUUCACUGCACUUAAAGGCUAGUAGGGCAUCAGACUGUUCAGCAUCAAUGGUUGAUAGACUACAGUCAAGGCUAGAUUUCAAGUUAAUUGUUCUCAGUCAAUAAAAAAACCACAAAAUUUCAGCAGCCUUCCUGAAAAAUUAAGGCUUUCUGGUGGCAAAUGUUUGCAAGAGUCUUCAACAAAUAAUGGUAUUAGAUCAGUGGUUUUCAAACUCUAGUAUGCCUUGGAUUACUAGAGGGCUUAUUAAAACAGAUUCCUGUGCCCCUCACCAGAGGGGUUGAUUCAGCAGGUCUGGGGUUGGAGAUGGAGUGGAGGGGAAAUUUCAUUUCUAGGAAGUCCCCAGGUGAUAUACAGACUGCUGGUUUGGGAACUGCACUUUGAGAAGCACUGGUCUAAAGUAUUUUGUUCCUCAGUAGACCCUCCCUUUGGUGAUGAUGAUAAUGCUAACAAUAUUCAUGUAGUGAGCUCCUAUGGAGUGACAGGUACCUUGCCUGUUACAUCCUUCAUUACAUUCAGUUCUCACAACAACUUCAUGGAAUAGAUGCGAUUACUCUACUCAUUCGACAAGUAAGGAAAUACACUUGGAGAGGUUAAUUAAUUUGCUCAAUGUCACAGAGCUAGUAAGUGACAAAAGCCAGGAUUUGAAUUUAAAUUUUCCUGUUACAUGUCUGUGGUUCCAACCACAGUGUUGUUCUGACUUCCUAUGAUGGCAAGCACACCUGGGCAGUGAUGGGCACAGUCUCCUUAAGAGACACCCAUGGGUGUCCACUGGACCUGUGUCCACAUGCACGUACACCUAGGGGAUUCUGAAUAGAUGGCUUUUUAGGUUCUCAUGGGAAGGAGAUAGCAGAACUUCCAUUGUCAUCUAUUCUAAUGGCUAAUAAGCUUUUUGUGAUGGGAAAAAAGUUUUAAUUAGAUAAAGUGUUUCUGUUUUACCAUUUUUUAAAAGCCAUUCAGUCACAGAGAAUUAGAUAACCGUAGCACAGCACACCCAGUUGAAUUGAACCCGUAUCUCAAUGAAACAGGAUUUGACAGUGAGGGCUGGAACCAGGUGUGCUGCUUUAUCCAAAAGGUCAAACACCCCUUUCCAGUCCUCAUCCCCUUGCAACCCAUUAAAAGGUGUCUUUGAAAUUAAUUUGAGCUCUUUGGACCUGAGUUAAAAUACUUGUUGCAUAUCACCUAACAUAAAAAUAGUAAUUAUUUGAUAUAUUAAUUAAUAGUUCUGUCAGGAAGGCUCAGUGAUCUUACUCACAGGGUGA